rnacentral:misc_RNA from 1 species
CUCCGGUUACUACUACCAGGACCUCCCUUAAUGGCGCCUUGCAGCUGCUCCAUCGGGGAGUUAGCUAUGCUGUUGACCGGAGCUCAGCUGCGGGCUUGGAGGAGGGCCUGGAGUGGCUACAGGGUUGGCCACGUUAUUGCUCAUUUGCUGCAGAGUUCCUGAGCUCAACUGGGGGCUCAUUGCAGCCUGCUGUCCCAUCUGCUGAGGGCUUAUCUGCUGCUGCUGCUGCUGCUGCUGCUGCAUCAUCGGCGAUUGCUGUGAGCCAGCAGGUGAGCCCACCUGUGCCUGCUGUAACGGAGAUCCCAUUUGUUGUUGCUGCUGCAGUUGCUGUUGUUGGAGCUGCUGCUGCUGCUGCUGCUGCAGUUGUUGUAUUUGUUGCUGUUGCUGUAGCUGUUGGAGCUGCUGCUG